rnacentral:rRNA from 1 species
GAUGAACGCUGGCGGCGUGCCUAAUACAUGCAAGUCGAGCGAACGGACGAGAAGCUUGCUUCUCUGAUGUUAGCGGCGGACAGGUGAGUAACACGUGGAUAACCUACCUAUAAGACUGGGAUAACUUCGGGAAACCGGAGCUAAUACCGGAUAAUAUUUUGAACCGCAUGGUUCAAAAGUGAAAGACGGUCUUGCUGUCACUUAUAGAUGGAUCCGCGCUGCAUUAGCUAGUUGGUAAGGUAACGGCUUACCAAGGCAACGAUGCAUAGCCGACCUGAGAGGGUGAUCGGCCACACUGGAACUGAGACACGGUCCAGACUCCUACGGGAGGCAGCAGUAGGGAAUCUUCCGCAAUGGGCGAAAGCCUGACGGAGCAACGCCGCGUGAGUGAUGAAGGUCUUCGGAUCGUAAAACUCUGUUAUUAGGGAAGAACAUAUGUGUAAGUAACUGUGCACAUCUUGACGGUACCUAAUCAGAAAGCAACGGCUAACUACGUG